AAGGCUUCGUUUGCCAGUGUCUAACAAAAGUGAACCAUAUGUCACGACAUGAAAACAGCAGAAAAGCAUUCGCAUGCCAUCAAUUCGCUGAAUCGAUUAUUGAAUUCUUCGCCUCUUGCCUCUCUCAACAUGCCGAUUGCCUCAGACGGCAAUAAUUUCACAAUUCAAGAUGAGUUAGAUGACAACAGAUCUCACUGUAUAUAUCGAGAUCGUUAAAGGCUAAAACAGUCAUCACUAUAUAUAUUGAGUAUUGAUCAAAUUAUACUGCUAUAAAAAAACCACAAUUC